AGGACGAACGCUGGCGGCGUGCUUAACACAUGCAAGUCGAACGGUAAGGCCCUUUCGGGGGUACACGAGUGGCGAACGGGUGAGUAACACGUGGGUGACCUGCCCCUUACUCUGGGAUAAGCCUGGGAAACUGGGUCUAAUACCGGAUACGACCACUUCAGGCAUCUGAUGGUGGUGGAAAGUUCUGGCGGUGGAGGAUGAGUUCGCGGCCUAUCAGCUUGUUGGUGAGGUAAUGGCCCACCAAGGCUUCGACGGGUAGCCGGCCUGAGAGGGUGACCGGCCACACUGGGACUGAGACACGGCCCAGACUCCUACGGGAGGCAGCAGUGGGGAAUAUUGGACAAUGGGCGAAAGCCUGAUCCAGCAACGCCGCGUGAGGGAUGACGGCCUUCGGGUUGUAAACCUCUUUCAGCGCAGACGAAGCGAAAGUGACGGUAUGCGCAGAAGAAGCACCGGCCAACUACGUGCCAGCAGCCGC
rnacentral:rRNA from 1 species